rnacentral:lncRNA from 1 species
UCAUUACUUAAAUGUUUUUUUCACUUUGCACAAAAACACGAACACUUUCCAGAAAUACAGCCAAAGAAAAAGCAGCCUAUGGGACAAUGGCAGUCCUCGUUAAUUUUACAUGGGUUCCCAUUUAGGUAAGGACUCGGACGCUGCACCAUAGAUUCAUCCUUCAGCACUCUCUCCCCAACCACCUUUGAGAAUUGCAAAUCUGUCAACACAAUUUCAAUAGUCACUUAUUAAAAAAACAAAGUAACGAAAAAUUUAAUGAAUUCAAUAAUUUAGAUUUUUUGUCAGAAACAAAUUUGGAUUUAAUCAUUUUUUUCCACAAACUGUUCCGUAAAUCAUUGAUACAAUUAAUACGGUCUUAAAAGUUUGGGGUACGUGUUGUGCCAAUAAUCAGAGCACCGUGCUGGCCACGUAACUUGAGUCUUGGACCCCACAUCAGGUUUAAUAAGAUGAUAAGAAUUAUUUAUGGAGUGUUGAUCAGACGGGCGCGCGCCGGUGGUAACUACCACGGGAGUGCCCCGUGUCAAUAAAUUAGGCCGAUAUUUGUGCUGGUGGGGCCCAAGUCAUUAAUGACUUAUCCCUCUCUCUCCUCUCUCCGUCUCUCUCUCUCCUCUCUCUAAUUAAUUAAGUUUUUUUUUUGUUUUUCAAUUUAAGAUUAAAAAUAAUGAAAACAAAGUAUAAAAAUCGAAUUGUAGAAAAAUUUUUUGUUAAAAAAAUGUUUUUUUAAAAAAAGUUUAUUUUCAAAAACAAUAAUUUUUGCUAAAAAAACUUAUUUAGGAUUCAAUUAAAAAACUGUUUUUGAACAAUUUUUUUUUUAAAAAAACCAAACAACCCAUUUUAUGUAAAAAAAAAUGUUUCAAAAACAAAAUUUUCGGUUUAAAAAAUUUAUUUUCCAAAAUUAAUGUUCUAUUAAAAAAAACGUUUCAAAAAAGUAUUUCUAUAAAAAUAUAUUAAUUUUUUUUUAAAAAAACUAGGCAAAUUAAAAAAAUACACCCACAUGAGAAUUAAAAAUAAUCAAACAAAGGUCACAGUAUUUAUAUUUAAAUAUUUUUUAAUAUAUCAUCCAAUAAUUUUAACUAAAUAAAAAAAAGGAAAUUUAAUUAAUUAGAGUUGGAGGAGAGACGAGAAUGAGAGAGAAGGAGAAGAGGGGGAGAGCAUUAAGACUUGGGCCCCACUAGCACAAUGUCGGCCUGAUUUUUUUUUUUGUUUGACACGGGCGCUCCUGUGAGUUACCAUGGGCUGCGCGCCCGUCUGAGUCGACCCUCUUAUUUAUGUUUUGAAGGCUUGAUGAGUAGAUCAUCACACCCAAAAAAAUAAAAUCAAGUAAAAUCAGACAUAUGUAGCCACAUAUCAACUCAUAUUUGUCCUAAUAAAAAAUAACGGAAAAGUAUAAUUUUAAGAGCAAAAUAGAACAAGUAUGAAUCGAUAAUGUGGUAGUACAAUAUCGAUCAACCUGAGUUUUAUACAGCUUAUUAAAACUGGAGGGGCUCCAUAUGAUUCACAUCAACACAAUAGGCGAGACACUUAACCCAAGUUCAGCCUGAGAUAUUAAAUAGUGGUGGUAAAAUGUAUGAAGAGAAGAUAUAGAGAGGACCGUACCAGAUCCAGCAAACAAAAGCAUGGCCAAGAAAAUCACUUGUUUGAACAAAAAUUUGUCAUUUUUUUUGUCUGUGUGUGUUGCGGAGAUGGUGAAAUAUAAGCUUCAAUGUACUUUGUGGAGUUUUACCAGACAAAAAUAUAUUUAUAACAUAUAUGACCUUAAUAAACAAGAAAGAAAAAAGGGCAAUGAACUGUGGAACUUUAUGGAUUUGAAAAUCUGAAAUUAAUUGUAGCCAAGAGUUUGAUUUGAGCAUAAAUGUCAAAUCCAAAAAAAUGAGAAAUAAUAGAAAUAAUUAAUCGCACCCCUGCUUACAAUCUAUAAUCAGAUGGAUUGAAAAGAGAGGACAAGAUAAUACUAUGAGAUUAGGUAAUUACAAGUGUUUUUUUUUUCCCAAAGGAUAAGAAUGAAAUUAUAUAUACCUUUAUUUUAUGUUAGGUUAGGAAGGGAUACAAUAUAGGAUACGAUUUGCAUUAUUAUUUUAGGCCGUUGAAUCGCAUAAAGCAUAUUAAGGAUUAUUAAUCCUACGGGGAAGAUGGAAUACAAUAGUCCUCCAUAUGAGGAUUAUCGGUCACAGUUUCAGUUCAAUCAUUGGAGCUAUGUUUAUUUAGUAAUGGAAUUAUGGCCACGUUUAAUAACAGAUUUUGAAAGUGAGAUUAAACUAUUAUUCUCGUGUGUGUGCACUUUAACUGGAGUAUAUUCUAGGCAAAAAUAUAAUUUAGACUAUUAGUUUAUUAAGACUGUUAAUCCCCAAAUGGAGGAUUAAGAAUCCCAUUGAAAAUGUGGUAUUCUAAAACCAAAUUAUUGGGAAUUGGAUAUUACAGUUACUCUAUCAUAAUUCUUGAAAAAAAUUAGAUGAAUUACCAAUCACCCAUUAAUUGAAAUACUCCAUCUGUUCAAAACAUG